GUGGGGAAUAUUGGACAAUGGGCGCAAGCCUGAUCCAGCCAUACCGCGUGGGUGAAGAAGGCCUUCGGGUUGUAAAGCCCUUUUGUUGGGAAAGAAAAGCAGUCGGUUAAUACCCGGUUGUUCUGACGGUACCCAAAGAAUAAGCACCGGCUAACUUCGUGCCAGCAGCCGCGGUAAUACGAAGGGUGCAAGCGUUACUCGGAAUUACUGGGCGUAAAGCGUGCGUAGGUGGUUGUUUAAGUCUGUCGUGAAAGCCCUGGGCUCAACCUGGGAAUUGCGAUGGAAACUGGGCGACUAGAGUGUGGCAGAGGAUAGUGGAAUUCCUGGUGUAGCAGUGAAAUGCGUAGAGAUCAGGAGGAACAUCCGUGGCGAAGGCGACUGUCUGGGCCAACACUGACACUGAGGCACGAAAGCGUGGGGAGCAAACAGGAUUAGAAACCCCUGUAGUCC
rnacentral:rRNA from 1 species